CUCAGGCGAUGAGAUGGUCAGGUCAUGAACCAUUACUCCUUGACAGCUAUCAAACUUGAGAUGGCACUGUGAGCUGUUAACAAUGGUGAUACCAGUUACUGUGACAUUGGAACUACCAUAAAACCUCAAUGCCUGCAUCAAUGUUUAAUCUGUGGCAUCUUCUCCAGCUCCACAUUGUACUGUUGGAAAGCAUUCAAGGUGGCACAAUUUUUUAAGUUGAAAGCAGAACACUUUGAGAAGCAGUGCGGCAGUUACCUGCGUAUCAUCUGUAACUCCAUCUCCACGGGCCCCAAAAUCAACCACAUUGAAGACUGUGUUCUGUGAUUGGGCU